rnacentral:piRNA from 1 species
UGGAGGAACAAGAGAACUAUUUUAUGAGC